ACAGAGGGUGCGAGCGUUGUCCGGAAUCACUGGGCGUAAAGGGCGCGUAGGCGGCGGGCCAAGCGUGCGGUGAAAGCCCGGGGCUCAACCCCGGGUCGGCCGUGCCGACUGUUAGACUGGAGUGCUGUAGGGGCAGGCGGAAUUCCGGGUGUAGCGGUGGAAUGCGUAGAGAUCCGGAGGAAGACCGGUGGCGAAGGCGGCCUGCUGGGCAGGAAGAUCUCGCAAGAGAUCGGCUGACGCUGAGGCGCGACAGCGUGGGGAGCAAACAGGA
rnacentral:rRNA from 1 species